ACCCCUCUUUAAUUAUUGCUAUUAUUAUUAUAGUUAUGUUAUUCUAAUUAAAUAUUUCACUAUUUCGGAGGUUUUAAUUAAUGCUAUUUUCUUCAAAUUUCUAUACAACCCUCUGUAAGAAUACUCACCAGCCUCAAUACGUAAGUUCAUACAAAGAGACGACAUCGAUUAAUGUCAACUUCAUUAUAUUACUGGAUGAAUGCAACUAAAAUCAAACAAAGAAAAGAACAAAGAGAAAAAAUGGUUAACACUAGAUUGAGAGGCAAACAAAAGUCAAAACCUAGAAUAUGGGAAGCCUCCGUAAUCGAAAAAAAAACACAAUAUAUGGAAGAAUUAAGACAAACGAAUGGGUGA